CACUGCAAUUUACUGAAUUUAGGAAAUUUACUAUCGAGUAUUUUUAGAAGUGGAUUGAGAAAUUAAAAUGGAGCUGGGUUUUUGACUCAUUUUGUGAUAAAUUUUGCCGACGAGGAUUUGCAACCAUUAUUCGGUUUUUGUCGGCGGCAGCUUCAUAAGCUUCGGACUCGGUUCCGGGUCACUCACCUGAAGAGCUCUUAAAGAACCUAUUUUGGAGGGUUGAACAAUUUAAACAUUCAUGGUCUUGUGUGGCAGAAUCCUCUUUAAAAUCAGCACCUUCCUUCUUUUGCCUCUUCAAACUCGUUCCGUUUCGCCAGUUUUCUUCAGAAGCUACUCCCCUCGUUUUUCUACUGCCGUCGGAACUCACUCGUUAUCAGGACAUGUAUCGUACAAUCAACCCGUAGAAAGCACGCAUUCCGGAAAGAUCCACGAUGCUGAUGUCAUCAUUGCCAAAGCCCUCGAAGCAAACUGCGAAACCGAAGUCUUUGAUUCUCUUGUUUACGAGUUUGGAUGCGAAAGGAUACCGAUAUCUCACACGUUGGUCGCGAGGCUGCUUCGUCGUUUUCAAGAUGAUUGGAAAUCUGCAUUGGGUGUUUUCAGAUGGGUCGAAACGUACACGGAGUACAAACCCUUGCCCGAGUUCUACGAUAAAUUGGUGGAUAUAUUGGGAAAGAUGAAAGAGAUGGACAAAAUGAACGCAUUAGUCGAGCAAAUGCGCGAACACCAUCUCGUCUCUCUCAACACCAUAGCCAAGAUGAUGAGAAGGUGUUGCGGUGCAGGGGGAUGGAAAGAUGCCGUGAGAAUAUUCGACGAGUUGGAAAGUUUUGGAUUGGAGAAGAACACCGAGUCGAUGAACUUGUUACUCGACAGUUUAUGCAAAGAGAGAAAAGUCGAGCAGGCCCGUUCAAUUUUCUUGGAGCUCAAAUCCCAUAUUCCACCUAAUGCAAACACGUACAACAUUUUUAUCCACGGGUGGUGCAAGAUAAAGAGGGUCGAGGAGGCGCAGUGGACAAUUCAAGAAAUGAAGGGACUCGGUCUUCGCCCGUGUGUCAUUAGCUACUCGACUAUUAUCCAAUUUUAUUGCUCUCAGAGCAACUUUAACAGAGUAUAUGAGCUGCUCGACGAAAUGCAAGCACAGGGGUGUAAUCCUAACGUAGUCACUCUCACAACUGUCAUGCAUUCUUUGACAAAGGCGGGAGAGUUAAAAGAAGCGUUACAAAUAGUCGAGAGAGUGAAAUCGGUUGGCUGUAAACCCGAUACGCAGUUUUACAAUGCAUUGAUACAUACGCUAGGCAGAGAUGGACAAGUCGAGGAGGCGGUACGUGUCUUUACAAAGGAGAUGCCGGAGAAUAAUAUUAAUCCGAAUACAUCGACUUACAAUUCGAUGAUCGCAAUGUUCUGCCAUCACAGACAAGAGCCGAAGGCAUUGCAGUAUCUGAGGAAUUUAGAAAUUUCGCCGUACUGUAAACCCGACGUGCAGUCGUUUUAUCCUCUGCUGAAGAUGUAUUUUCGAGAUGGGAAAACGGAUAAGUGCUUGAUUAGUUUGUUGGACGAUAUGGUUAAGAAGCACCAUCUUUGCUUCGACUUGGCGACUUUCACGCUUCUGAUACACGGGCUGUGCAGAGCGGGUAAGUGCGAGUGGGCGUACGAGCUGUUUACGGAAAUGGUCGGUCAGAACAUAAAGCCUAGGUAUCUGACGUGUUCGUUGCUUCUGCAAGAAAUCAGACAGAAGAAUAUGAUUGAUAAGGCUGAGAUGAUUGAAGACUUUAUAAAGAAAAUGAAAUCUUCUUGAAUGAUGAGAACUAACCAACUGCAGUAAACCCUCGUUCAGAAAAUUGCCAAACGAAGAACGUUUACAAAAUACUGUACGGUUGUUUGUCAUGCCAUGCUUAUAUAUCUGGGUUGGCAAAAUGCUUUUUGAUUGAGAGAUAACCUCAGGUAUUCAUUCAACCUCACGUGAUCGUUGGUGAAGUUAUCCAGUCUCGUAAACGAAAGGAAGAAAACGAAAACAAACAGAAGUUGGUAGAGCUUGAUUUGGAGUUUCUCAAGAACGAACAAUCAGAAAAUCCGAAAACCUUCAACUUCACGUGGAGUGUUUGGCGAUUCUUAAAAGAUUUAUGAAUUAUGCAGCAGAAUUAUAUCCGGGAUUCUCGGGACAAUUAGUUAGCUUCCAAAUACUGCACACUAUUAAUCUUUGUUUCGUUUUCGAUUGUCGGUACUAAAAUAAUGAUAACUGUCACGUUUAUGUCAUGCAUCAAGUUAUAUAAUCUAUAUGUAUAUAUGUA